rnacentral:rRNA from 1 species
AUGGCUCCAGUAGCAGCACGACGGCGUGGUGUUGAUGGAGCUGCAGUACUCCGGCAGGGCUUCGCCAAGCACUAUGGAGGAGGAGGAGGUGUUGGAGAGGGAGAGGGAGGCACCAAAGAUCAAGGUAAGAAGUCCUCCAUCUCCCCACUAUAUAUAGGAGGGCCAAGGGGGGGGGGCGCCGGCCCUAGGAGAUCUAAUCUCCUAGGGGGGUGCGGCCAAGGGGAGGAAUCCCUCCUCCCCAAGGCACCUAGGGGUGCCUUCCCCCUUUGGGACUCUUCCCUCCUUGAAACCCUAGGCGCAUGGGCCUCUUGGGGCUAG